rnacentral:rRNA from 1 species
AAGCAGCCAUUCAUUUAAAGAGUGCGUAACAGCUCACUAGUCAAGAGAUUUUGCGUGGAAAAUGUAACGGGGCUCAAGUGUUAAACCGAAGACAUGGAUUAUAUGCCAGAAACAAAGUUUAUGUUUAUGUGAUAUCAUAAGAGUAUGAAUAAAAAGACUCUUAUCUUAUUAGUAGCAACAGUAAUAGCGCUAUUCGCAAUAUUAGUAAUAGUCCUUUUUUCUUUCAAUAGGAAUGAGAACAGAAAUGAGUGGACUUACGAAAAACAUGGCUGGAUUAAUUGUCAGCCACCGCUCAAUCAGUCAGAGGCUAAGUUUUGUAAAGAAGCUGAAGAUGCUGGCUAUAAAUAUAUUGCAUAUUAAACAUAGGUUUUGUUUCUGGUAUAUAGUGGUAGAGGAGCGUUGAUAUCGCAGUGAAGUCAGAUUGGAAAGUCUGGUGGAGCGUUAUCAAGUGAGAAUGCUGGAAUUAGUAACCUUAAGACAGGUGAGAAUCCUGUCGGUCGUAAGAGCAAGGUUUCCAGGGCUACAGUAAUUGCCCCUGGGUUAGUCGGUCCUAAGCCGAGGCGUAUCAGCGUAGGCGAUGGACAACAGGUUAAUAUUCCUGUACAGGUAGUAGUUGUAAACAGUUCACGGCGAAUGACCGGAGCGGAUUAAUGGUUUAUCCGUCCAAGUCUUUAGGGAACUAAAGAUGAGUGAAAGGUAAUCUUCGGAUUAUUGAUUCUGGGUGAAGCACUGGCUAGAAAAGCUGGUUCACUUAUGCUGCUGCCUACCGUACCGCAAACCAACACCGGUGCUCGGGUCGAGUAGACCAAGACCUACGUGAGAACCUUCGCUAAGGAACUCGGCAAAAAAGCGUCCGUAACUUCGGAAUAAGGACUGCCCUCUCAUUAAAAUGAGGAUUUGCUAGGAACUCAGCAGAAGAUUCAGAUUAUGUUACAUAUUUACUAUAAAUUUGUUUUUUUUCGAGACCAUAAGCUUGGCCGAACGGCCUUGAGUGCGUCGAGAAAAACAACAAAUUUUAGUUAUUUACCUUUAACUGAAUUUUUUCGUUGAGACGGAACACAAAAUCAGGAUUUGUUUUAACAAAUUCGUGUCUUUUCUAGUAGUCUAAUCGUCAUUUUGAUGAGAGGGCCGCAGCUAAAGAGCCCACGGAACUGUUUACCAAAAACAUAGGUCUCUGCUAACGCGAAAGCGGAUGUAUAGGGGCUGACUCCUGCCCGGUGUCGGAAGGUUAAGGGGAGAGCUUUACGGUUCGAACUGAAGCCCCGAUGAACGGCGGCGAUAACUAUGAUCGUCCUAAGGUAGCGAAAUUCCUUGUCUGGUAAGUUCAGACCCGCACGAAUGGAGUAAUCAUGUGGGCACUGUCUCGGCGAAGGCCACGGUGAACGUGCAUUGGCGGUAAAGAUGCCGUCUGAUCAUGCCAGGACGAGAAGACCCCAUGGAGCUUUACUACAACUUUGCAUUGAUUAUUGGGACAUUUUGUGUAGAAUAGGUGGAAGACUUUGAAGCAGAUACGCUAGUAUUUGUGGAGUCGAAAUGUGAAAUACCACCCUGAGUGUUUUAGUAAUCUCACUUUUGACCUGAUCGGCCAAAAGGACCGUGCAUGGCGGGUAGUUUAACUGGGGCGGUUGCCUCCUAAAGAGUAGCGGAGGCGUUCAAAGGUUGGCUAACUACGGAUGGAAAUCGUAGUGAUAGUGUAUGCGCAAAAGCCAGCUUGACUGUGAGGGCCACAACCCAAUCAGACACGAAAGUGGGAGCAAAUGACCCGCUGUACAGAACUUCGGUUCAAUUUACGUGGGAAAGACAGCGCACACGGAUAAAAGUUACCCUGGGGAUAACAGGCUGAUCGCGCCCAAUAGUUCACAUAGACGGCGCGGUUUGGCACCUCGAUGUCGGCUCAUCACAUCCUGGAGGGGGAGCACCUUCCAAGGGUUCGGCUGUUCGCCGAUUAAAGUGGUACGCGAGCUGGGUUCAGAACGUCGUGAGACAGUUCGGUUUAUAUCCGGCAUGAUCGUUAGGAAUUUUGAGGAGAUCUGCCCCUAGUACGAGAGGACCGGGGUGGACGGAUCUCUAGUGUAUCGGUUGUGACCACCUGUUGCAUUGCCGAGUAGCUAUAUCCGGAAGAGAUAAGCGCUGAAAGCAUAUUAAGCGCGAAGCCCACUCCAAGAUUAGAAUUCCCUAUGAGAUCCCAGAGAGAAGAUCUGGUUGAUAGGCGCAAGAUGGAAGUAUCGCAAGGUAUGGAGUCGAAGCGUACUAAUAGAUCCAUCGCCUUUUUA